UACGUAGGGUGCGAGCGUUAAUCGGAUUUACUGGGCGUAAAGCGCGCGUAGGUGGUUUGUUAAGUUGGAUGUGAAAUCCCCGGGCUCAACCUGGGAACUGCAUUCAAAACUGACUGACUAGAGUAUGGUAGAGGGUGGUGGAAUUUCCUGUGUAGCGGUGAAAUGCGUAGAUAUAGGAAGGAACACCAGUGGCGAAGGCGACCACCUGGACUAAUACUGACACUGAGGUGCGAAAGCGUGGGGAGCAAACAGG
rnacentral:rRNA from 1 species